AAGAAAAGUUACCCAAUCCCAAACCCGAGCUCCCGAGUCUAAAAUUGGCAUGAUACCCCAUGGGGAAGACCUCCAUAGGUCGUAAGCAAAAUUAUAGUAGAGGAAAAUGUAUUCCAUAGAUUCCUCACCCUCCCCACAAAUUGGGCAAUCGACCUUCUCAAUGUGCAUUCUCUUAAUGAGUUGAGCACGAACAGGUAGAGCAUUUGAAAGGAUGCUCCACCAAAGAAUCUUAUGACGCUCCAAGACUUUUGAGUUCCAAAAUUUAUUCCACAAGGCAGGAGCAACAUUGCACAACGGAUCACGAUCAAGAGCUUGGACUAGGUAGGAAAAUUUAGACGAAAACAAACCACUCGGCUCCUUAGUCCAAACCCAUCGAUCACUACCUUGUCCACUAGGCUUUUCCCGAAGAGGGAGUGGAGCCUAGGUAUGUAGUCCCCGUUAUCAAGGAGAAAAUCUGCCACUUUCUCCAAACCCUCAAGCCUAGUAGAGGAAGGCUUAGGGUAGUAAUCUUGGUCAUUGAUAAUCCACAGGUCAUCCCAAAUAUUUGUCCAUUUCACAUCCACUAUAACUUUGCAAGCACCUUUCUUGAGGAUAGAUAUCGAUCGCACCACAUUAUUUGAGAACCAAGAAUUCAAAUUUUUAGAGGAACACUCCAAGAACGAUUUACCUCUCAAGUACUUGGCUUUUAAAAUUCACAACAUAGCGAUUAAUCCUCAUUAAUAAGUGCUCAAUCCCAUUUGGCUAGCAAGACCUUGUUCAUUUUUAUAGUCUUUCUAAAUUCAAGACCACCCCGAGAUUUAAGGAGGCAUAAAUGGUCCCAAACCUUUAAAUAAAUUCCACGAUUAUUUUGUUCUCAACCCCUCCAAAAAUCCCUAACCAUACCAUCAAUUUUAGUGGCAACCCCACCAUAAAUUCCACGGUUUAAUGAAGCUUUCAUAAUUUUUAUUUUUUACAUAGAGGGAUUUUGGUAUUUCAUUAAAGUCACGACCUACGUCGUGUCGUUUUAGGCCAAUUUUAUAUUUUUUUAGUUAGUUUUGGUGGCAGAAUACUUCAAUCAAACCAGAUAGCUAAACAGUACUACUACCUCUUCAAAUUCCAGAAUGUGCGGCGAUGUGACCAACUGGGACGAAGAGACUUACAGGGAAACCAUAUUGAAGGAUAGGGAGAUUCAAACCCGAACCGUUUUCAGAACCGCUUGGGCUCCCUCCCAAAACCCUAAUCCGGACUCCAUCGUCGUCGCCUCCAGUGACAGAUCACUCGGUUCUUACUCCAUUUCUUCAAUUAUCUCUGACCUUGUACGUUCAUCCUUUUCUCUAUCUAAAUAUAAUCCUUAUCCUCUCGAAAUGGCGAUUUUCUUCUUAUAAAUAAUAUCUGACCAUUGCUACUGGGACUAGGGAACGCCAAAGCUCCACACUAUUUUGAGGCUGAACCUGAGUGUUUCCUUCAAGGGCAUGAAGGACCUUUAUACGAUGUGAAAUUCUAUGGUGAUGGUGAAGAUGCUCUGUUCCUAAGCUGCGGUGAUGAUGGUCGUAUUCGAGGAUGGAGGUGGAAGGAUUGUACAGAAUCUUACGCUCCUAUUCCUUUGCAAGGUAUUGAAUGUGACUUUCUGCAAGUAGGUCUUAAGCAAGCAUUCCUUUUGAAUUUUGUUACUACUUGUCUGAUAUAGAUAUCGUAUAGCCCUAUGUAGUUUUUUUUUUUUAGCAGUGUAGCUUGGUAUUUCUACAUUACAUAAUUUGAUAAUUGAUAUUGGUAACAGCCUUGUUUUUAUUAGAAUUUUGUAAAAUCUCACUUCUUCUUCUUUUUCUUCUUCUUGUUCUUUCAUUAUUAUGCUUUCAGGAAAGCACAUGAGACCAGUUCUUGACUUGGUGAAUCCUUAACGUAAGUGAGUUAUUUAAAAUGAUAAAUCAUUUCACUACAGUUUAUAGUGUUGUUCAUAUAUCAGAGUAUGAAGGGAGUCUAGUUGCAGGAUUUGUCAUAUGUAGUCUUGUUACCGCCUGUAGAUAAUAUGUAAAGUAAAAUCAUUAAACCUUGUUGACAUGCUGGAAAUUUAUUUACUGAAACAAUGAUUUGAUGUUUCGAUUUUCUUAUCAGAAUUGAGGUUUUUUUUUAAUAUUUUUAUGAUGCUUAUUUUUUGUAUGUUCUUAUUAAGGCAUUCUACAUUUUGAUUUGGU